AAUCAACGCUGGCGGCGUGCCUCAGACAUGCAAGUCGAACGAUUAAAGCUCUCUUCGGAGAGUGUAUGGAGUGGCGCACGGGUGAGUAACACGUAAGUAAUCUACCCUCGAGUGGGGAAUAACAACCGGAAACGGUUGCUAAUACCGCAUAAUGCAGCGGCACCGCAAGGUGACAGUUGUUAAAGAUUUAUCGCUUGAGGAGGAGCUUGCGGCAGAUUAGCUAGUUGGUAGGGUAACGGCUUACCAAGGCUACGAUCUGUAACCGGUCUAAGAGGACGGUCGGUCACACUGACACUGAAUAACGGGUCAGACUCCUACGGGAGGCAGCAGUCGGGAAUUUUGGGCAAUGGGCGAAAGCCUGACCCAGCAACGCCGCGUGAAGGAUGAAGUAUUUCGGUAUGUAAACUUCGAAAGAAUAGGAAGAAUUAAUGACGGUACUAUUUAUAAGGUCCGGCUAACUACGUG
rnacentral:rRNA from 1 species